rnacentral:rRNA from 1 species
AGGUCCUGCCUGCCCUGUGACUCUAUGUUUAACGGCCGCGGUAUUUUAACCGUGCAAAGGUAGCGCAAUCACUUGUCCCUUAAAUAGAGACCUGUAUGAAUGGCAUAACGAGGGCUAAACUGUCUCCUUUCCCUAGUCAAUGAAAUUGAUUUACCCGUGCAGAAGCGAGUAUAAAACCGUAAGACGAGAAGACCCUGUGGAGCUUUCAGACAAAGGACAGAUUAUGUUAAAUAACCCCUAUAAAGARUCUAAACCAAAUAACUUCUGUCCCUAUCUUUGGUUGGGGCGACCGCGGGGAAACAACCAACCCCCACGUGGAAUAAGUAUACUUCUACCUUAAAGCUAGAGCCACAGCUCUAACAAACAGAACAUCUGACCAUACAAGAUCCGGCACUGCCGAUCAACGGACCAAGUUACCCCAGGGAUAACAGCGCAAUCCCCUUCUAGAGCCCAUAUCGACAAGGGGGUUUACGACCUCGAUGUUGGAUCAGGACAUCCUAAUGGUGCAACCGCUAUUAAGGGUUCGUUUGUUCAACGAUUAAAGUCCU